rnacentral:rRNA from 1 species
UACGUAGGGGGCGAGCGUUGUCCGGAUUUACUGGGCGUAAAGAGCGCGUAGGCGGAUCGAUCAGUCAGGGGUGAAAUCCCAGAGCUCAACUCUGGAACUGCCUUUGAUACUGUCGAUCUGGAGUAUGGAAGAGGUGAGUGGAAUUCCGAGUGUAGAGGUGAAAUUCGUAGAUAUUCGGAGGAACACCAGUGGCGAAGGCGGCUCACUGGUCCAUUACUGACGCUGAGGUGCGAAAGCGUGGGGAGCAAACAGG